rnacentral:misc_RNA from 1 species
UACGGAAGGGGCAAGCGUUGUUCGGAAUUAUUGGGCGUAAAGGGCGCGUAGGUGGUUCUAUAUGUCUGCUGUGAAAGGGUACGGCUCAACCGUACUUGGUCGGUGGAAACUGUAGGACUUGAGGCUGGGAGGGGCUAGUGGAAUUCCCCGUGUAGCGGUGAAAUGCGUAGAGAUGGGGGAGAACACUCGUGGCGAAGGCGGCUAGCUGGACCAGUCCUGACACUGAGGCGCGACAGCGUGGGGAGCAAACAGG